CACUUACAUUUUGAUCAAGGGCCCCUAGU
rnacentral:piRNA from 1 species